rnacentral:lncRNA from 1 species
GGAAAAGCUAGAUCCGCAUUCAUUAGACUAGGCAACAUCUGGAAAACAACAGCCUUUUCAAAGAAGACCAAGCUCAGGCUCUAUAACAGCUGUGUACUUUAUGUACUCCUAUAUGGGUCAGAGUGCCGGAGAAUGACUGAGAAAGAUAUCAACAGGCUCUCCAGCUACUAUAACAAAUGUCUGAGGAAAAUAAUGAAAAUAUUCUGGCCAAACAAAAUCUCCAACAAAGACCUACAUGAGAUGACCAGCAC